rnacentral:rRNA from 1 species
AUUGAACGCUGGCGGCAUGCUUUACACAUGCAAGUCGAACGGCAGCGCGGGCUUCGGCCUGGCGGCGAGUGGCGAACGGGUGAGUAAUGCAUCGGAACGUGCCCAGUAGUGGGGGAUAGCCCGGCGAAAGCCGGAUUAAUACCGCAUACGACCUGAGGGUGAAAGCGGGGGACCGAAAGGCCUCGCGCUAUUGGAGCGGCCGAUGUCGGAUUAGCUAGUUGGUGGGGUAAAGGCUUACCAAGGCGACGAUCCGUAGCUGGUCUGAGAGGACGACCAGCCACACUGGGACUGAGACACGGCCCAGACUCCUACGGGAGGCAGCAGUGGGGAAUUUUGGAUAAUGGGGGCAACCCUGAUCCAGCCAUGCCGCGUGCGGGAAGAAGGCCUUCGGGUUGUAAACCGCUUUUGUUCGGGAAGAAAUCCUCUGGGCUAAUACCCCGGGGGGAUGACGGUACCGGAAGAAUAAGCACCGGCUAACUACGUG